rnacentral:rRNA from 1 species
GAUGAACGCUGGCGGCGUGCCUAAUACAUGCAAGUCGAGCGAACGGACGAGAAGCUUGCUUCUCUGAUGUUAGCGGCGGACGGGUGAGUAACACGUGGAUAACCUACCUAUAAGACUGGGAUAACUUCGGGAAACCGGAGCUAAUACCGGAUAAUAUUUUGAACCGCAUGGUUCAAAAGUGAAAGACGGUCUUGCUGUCACUUAUAGAUGGAUCCGCGCUGCAUUAGCUAGUUGGUAAGGUAACGGCUUACCAAGGCAACGAUGCAUAGCCGACCUGAGAGGGUGAUCGGCCACACUGGAACUGAGACACGGUCCAGACUCCUACGGGAGGCAGCAGUAGGGAAUCUUCCGCAAUGGGCGAAAGCCUGACGGAGCAACGCCGCGUGAGUGAUGAAGGUCUUCGGAUCGUAAAACUCUGUUAUUAGGGAAGAACAUAUGUGUAAGUAACUGUGCACAUCUUGACGGUACCUAAUCAGAAAGCCACGGCUAACUACGUGCCAGCAGCCGCGGUAAUACGUAGGUGGCAAGCGUUAUCCGGAAUUAUUGGGCGUAAAGCGCGCGUAGGCGGUUUUUUAAGUCUGAUGUGAAAGCCCACGGCUCAACCGUGGAGGGUCAUUGGAAACUGGAAAACUUGAGUGCAGAAGAGGAAAGUGGAAUUCCAUGUGUAGCGGUGAAAUGCGCAGAGAUAUGGAGGAACACCAGUGGCGAAGGCGACUUUCUGGUCUGAAACUGACGCUGAUGUGCGAAAGCGUGGGGAUCAAACAUGAUUAGAUACCCUGGUAGUCCACGCCGUAAACGAUGAGUGCUAAGUGUUAGGGGGUUUCCGCCCCUUAGUGCUGCAGCUAACGCAUUAAGCACUCCGCCUGGGGAGUACGACCGCAAGGUUGAAACUCAAAGGAAUUGACGGGGACCCGCACAAGCGGUGGAGCAUGUGGUUUAAUUCGAAGCAACGCGAAGAACCUUACCAAAUCUUGACAUCCUUUGACAACUCUAGAGAUAGAGCCUUCCCCUUCGGGGGACAAAGUGACAGGUGGUGCAUGGUUGUCAUCAGCUCGUGUCGUGAGAUGUUGGGUUAAGUCCCGCAACGAGCGCAACCCUUAAGCUUAGUUGCCAUCAUUAAGUUGGGCACUCUAAGUUGACUGCCGGUGACAAACCGGAGGAAGGUGGGGAUGACGUCAAAUCAUCAUGCCCCUUAUGAUUUGGGCUACACACGUGCUACAAUGGACAAUACAAAGGGCAGCGAAACCGCGAGGUCAGGCAAAUCCCAUAAAGUUGUUCUCAGUUCGGAUUGUAGUCUGCAACUCGACUACAUGAAGCUGGAAUCGCUAGUAAUCGUAGAUCAGCAUGCUACGGUGAAUACGUUCCCGGGUCU